GGGGAUGUAGCUCAGUUGGGAGAGCAUCGCCUUUGCAAGGCGGGGGCCAGGGGUUCGAGUCCCCUCAUCUCCA
rnacentral:tRNA from 1 species